rnacentral:rRNA from 1 species
GACGAACGCUGGCGGCGUGCUUAACACAUGCAAGUCGAGCGGUAAGGCCUUUCGGGGUACACGAGCGGCGAACGGGUGAGUAACACGUGGGUGAUCUGCCCUGCACUCUGGGAUAAGCCUGGGAAAAUGGGUCUAAUACUGGAUAUGACCUCAGCAUGCAUGUGCUGGGGUGGAAAGCUUUUGUGGUGCAGGAUGGGCCCGCGGCCUAUCAGCUUGUUGGUGGGGUAAUGGCCUACCAAGGCGACGACGGGUAGCCGACCUGAGAGGGUGACCGGCCACACUGGGACUGAGACACGGCCCAGACUCCUACGGGAGGCAGCAGUGGGGAAUAUUGCACAAUGGGCGGAAGCCUGAUGCAGCGACGCCGCGUGAGGGAUGAAGGCCUUCGGGUUGUAAACCUCUUUCAGCAGGGACGAAGCGUGAGUGACGGUACCUGCAGAAGAAGCACCGGCUAGCUACGUGCCAGCCGCCGCAGUAAUAC